AUUGAACGCUGGCGGCAUGCUUUACACAUGCAAGUCGAACGGCAGCGCGGGCUUCGGCCUGGCGGCGAGUGGCGAACGGGUGAGUAAUGCAUCGGAACGUGCCCAGUCGUUGGGGAUAGCCCGGCGAAAGCCGGAUUAAUACCGCAUACGACCUGAGGGUGAAAGCGGGGGACCGAAAGGCCUCGCGCUAUUGGAGCGGCCGAUGUCGGAUUAGCUAGUUGGUGGGGUAAAGGCUUACCAAGGCGACUAUCCGUAGCUGGUCUGAGAGGACGACCAGCCACACUGGGACUGAGACACGGCCCAGACUCCGACGGGAGGAAGCAGUGGGGAAUUUUGGACAAUGGGGGCAACCCUGAUCCAGCCAUGCCGCGUGCGGGAAGAAGGCCUUCGGGUUGUAAACCGCUUUUGUUCGGGAAGAAAUCCUCUGGGCUAAUACCCCGGGGGGAUGACGGUACCGGAAGAAUAAGCACCGGCUAACUACGUG
rnacentral:rRNA from 1 species